rnacentral:misc_RNA from 1 species
GAUGAAGAACGCAGCGAAAUGCGAUAAGUAAUGUGAAUUGCAGAAUUCAGUGAAUCAUCGAAUCUUUGAACGCACAUUGCGCCCGCCAGUAUUCUGGCGGGCAUGCCUGUUCGAGCGUCAUUUCAACCAUCAAGCCCCCGGGCUUGUGUUGGGGUCCUGCGGCUGCCGCAGGCCCUGAAAAGCAGUGGCGGGCUCGCUGUCACACCGAGCGUAGUAGAUUUUAUCUCACUCAGGGCGUGCUGCGGGUUCCGGCCGUUAAACCACCUUCAUAACCCAAGGUUGACCUCGGAUCAGGUAGGAAGACCCGCUGAACUUAAGCAUAUCAAUAAGCGGAGGA